rnacentral:rRNA from 1 species
CCAAUAGCGUAUAUUAAAGUUGUUGCAGUUAAAAAGCUCGUAGUUGAAUUUCGGGAUUGACGUGAUGGUCGUGCCUUAAGGGGUAUGAACUGUCGCAGUUGAUUUCUCACCUUCUGGAGAAGCUUGAUGUCCUUAAUUGGGUGUCAUGUGGAACCAGGACCUUUACCUUGAAAAAAUUAGAGUGUUUAAAGCAGGCAUUUUGCUCGAAUACAUUAGCAUGGAAUAAUAGAAUAGGACGGCAUGGUUCUAUUUUGUUGGUUUCUAGGAUCACCGUAAUGAUUAAUAGGGAUAGUUGGGGGCAUUAGUAUUCAAUUGUCAGAGGUGAAAUUCUUGGAUUUAUUGAAGACUAACUACUGCGAAAGCAUUUGCCAAGGAUGUUUUCAUUAAUCAAGAACGAAAGUUAGGGGAUCGAAGACGAUCAGAUACCGUCGUAGUCUUAACCAUAAACUAUGCCGACUAGGGAUCAGACGAUGUUAAUUUUUUAAUGACUCGUUUGGCACCUUACG